AUAAGCUUUAUACACUAUAAAAAGAUUAAAUCAUUUUUUAUAAGUAAAAGUGAAAAAAUAUGAUCAAAAUCUACAAGUUUGUUUAUGCUAUGAUUCAAUUUCUUCUUAUAUUUUUUGUUGCAGCGAAGAAAUAUGCUCCACAUAUGCGUGAAUGUGAAUAUGAUGCUGAUUGUCCACAAAUUGUUGCGUAUCCUUUACUUAUAAGGUGCAUUUUUUACAAUUGUGUAGUUGUUAACGUCAAUGAUCCUUCAUCAUGAGAGGAAGAAGUGCCAUGAAGAAUAAUAAUGAGAUUUUUCAUGAGCAAAAUAGUUCUGCAGUAUACCUUAUGCUAGAAUACUUCAUAACAUGUCAUUUAUUAUUGUAAUGGAUAUCAAUAAUUAUUACUUUUAGUUAUA